rnacentral:misc_RNA from 1 species
AAGUCGUAACAAGGUUUCCGUAGGUGAACCUGCGGAAGGAUCAUUAUUGAAUAAAUCUGACGUGGUUGUCGCUGGCUCCCCCGGGAGCAUGUGCACGCCCGUCACCUUUAUUUCUCCACCUGUGCACACACUGUAGGCCUGGAUACCUCUCGUCGCAAGGCGGAUGCGUGGCUUGCUGUCGCUUUCGAAAGAAGGCCGGCUUGCCAUGAAUUUCCAGGUCUAUGAUUUCUUACACACACCAAACUGAAUGUUAUGGAAUGUCAUCUCAAGGCCUUGUGCCUAUAAACCUAUACAACUUUCAGCAACGGAUCUCUUGGCUCUC